AAUAGCGACGCGACGCAAGUUGCAGUGGAACGAAAAUCCGUUGGUUUCACAGGACCGUGAGGGUUCGAAUCCCUCUAUCCCCAGCGAGACAAUUUAGUUAACCCAUUCAGGUUGUUUAAAUCCACAUAAUUCG
rnacentral:tRNA from 1 species